rnacentral:lncRNA from 1 species
UGCUCAGGAACCCUGGGCUGGACAGCGAUGCUUCGCGCGGCCGGUGACUUUUAAGGCAUGUCUUGGAGGGAGGCAAAACACAUGCACAAACCCAGGCUGGCGGUGGAAGAGUUAAACAGGACGGAUCGUAUUGCUUCUAAUUGCAAUUUUCCUUCCAGGUUGUGGCCCCGAUUUUGAGGGGGAUUGGGGCCCUGUGGCUCUUCGCCCCUGGACUACCACUCCCAUUCUUCCGUACAGCCUGGGGAGUUCCGAGUAGUAGUCGUCGUUGUCGUCCAAAACACACACAAAGACACACACACAGACACACAAACACAUUUAAGGCCAAUAAGGAGAGGAUGAUGGCUCUUUCCCGCCUCGCAAAGGGUUAAAUAAUGCACGAUUAAUGCAGCAUUAUAAAGUGGCACUGAGCCAUUUUUAACGGUAUCAAUAGUCUUCUGAAAUGUAGGUGUUUGGUCGACCCUUUUUUCUCUGCAGAGAUACCCUUCUUCUACCCUUCUAGGGGAAAAAUAUUCCGGUCCCUCAGAGAUGACUCUCAGAGUUUGGGUUGAGAAAUACAGGAUCUGAAAUUCCACCACCACCCCCCAGUCCUGUGGGAGAAUGGCUUCCCUGAAACUCUAAAAAAGGGGAAGAACGCAAACUUCAACACAAAAGCUGUAGAUUUUUGCAACACUCUUAGACAGUGCAGGAAAUUCAAAGUUUGUUCCAGAAACGCAGGGUUUGCUUCCAAAAGGCAAGCUAUUUUCUCUGGCUUGUUCCUUCUCGUCCUGCGAUACCCACAGAAAACACUGGCCACGGAUUUCUCUUUCCGUGCCCAUAACGACUUGUGUAGUCAGGCGAACAUCCACGGACAUUUGGGAACACCACAGUGUUGCAAUACAAAUCAGACAUGUGACAUGGAUCCCUCAUUUCUGCUAAUGCGUGCAAUGCUAUCGCAAUAGCCUGACGGAGUCCUGGCCUCCUGGCCCUUAAGUGUCCCAGAACGUCAAAACACUGGAGGUCUCCGUACCGCACAGAGCAAGGGUUUAAGGUAGGCAAAGUCC